rnacentral:rRNA from 1 species
GACGAAGGACCCAAGCGUUACCCGGAAUUACUGGGCGUAAAGAGUUGCGUAGGCGGUCUACUAAGUGGAAUGCGAAAUCUGGUGGCUCAACCAUCAAAUGGUAUUCCAAACUAGCAGACUUGAGGAUGGGAGAAGAGCAUGGAAUUGCUGGUGUAGGAGUGAAAUCCGUAGAUAUCAGCAGGAACACCAAUGGCGUAAGCAGUGCUCUAGACCAUUCCUGACGCUCAGGCACGAAAGCGUGGGGAGCGAACCGG